rnacentral:rRNA from 1 species
UUUAUGGAGAGUUUGAUCCUGGCUCAGGAUGAACGCUGGCGGCGUGCCUAAUACAUGCAAGUCGAGCGAACGGACGAGAAGCUUGCUUCUCUGAUGUUAGCGGCGGACGGGUGAGUAACACGUGGAUAACCUACCUAUAAGACUGGGAUAACUUCGGGAAACCGGAGCUAAUACCGGAUAAUAUUUUGAACCGCAUGGUUCAAAAGUGAAAGACGGUCUUGCUGUCACUUAUAGAUGGAUCCGCGCUGCAUUAGCUAGUUGGUAAGGUAACGGCUUACCAAGGCAACGAUGCAUAGCCGACCUGAGAGGGUGAUCGGCCACACUGGAACUGAGACACGGUCCAGACUCCUACGGGAGGCAGCAGUAGGGAAUCUUCCGCAAUGGGCGAAAGCCUGACGGAGCAACGCCGCGUGAGUGAUGAAGGUCUUCGGAUCGUAAAACUCUGUUAUUAGGGAAGAACAUAUGUGUAAGUAACUGUGCACAUCUUGACGGUACCUAAUCAGAAAGCCACGGCUAACUACGUGCCAGCAGCCGCGGUAAUACGUAGGUGGCAAGCGUUAUCCGGAAUUAUUGGGCGUAAAGCGCGCGUAGGCGGUUUUUUAAGUCUGAUGUGAAAGCCCACGGCUCAACCGUGGAGGGUCAUUGGAAACUGGAAAACUUGAGUGCAGAAGAGGAAAGUGGAAUUCCAUGUGUAGCGGUGAAAUGCGCAGAGAUAUGGAGGAACACCAGUGGCGAAGGCGACUUUCUGGUCUGUAACUGACGCUGAUGUGCGAAAGCGUGGGGAUCAAACAGGAUUAGAUACCCUGGUAGUCCACGCCGUAAACGAUGAGUGCUAAGUGUUAGGGGGUUUCCGCCCCUUAGUGCUGCAGCUAACGCAUUAAGCACUCCGCCUGGGGAGUACGACCGCAAGGUUGAAACUCAAAGGAAUUGACGGGGACCCGCACAAGCGGUGGAGCAUGUGGUUUAAUUCGAAGCAACGCGAAGAACCUUACCAAAUCUUGACAUCCUUUGACAACUCUAGAGAUAGAGCCUUCCCCUUCGGGGGACAAAGUGACAGGUGGUGCAUGGUUGUCGUCAGCUCGUGUCGUGAGAUGUUGGGUUAAGUCCCGCAACGAGCGCAACCCUUAAGCUUAGUUGCCAUCAUUAAGUUGGGCACUCUAAGUUGACUGCCGGUGACAAACCGGAGGAAGGUGGGGAUGACGUCAAAUCAUCAUGCCCCUUAUGAUUUGGGCUACACACGUGCUACAAUGGAC